rnacentral:lncRNA from 1 species
GAGACUGGAGUGAGGAGAGGAGUCAUGCAAACUGCUGAGAUAGCACGAAAAGGCGAAGGUCGGAGCACGCGUGCAGUGUUUGGAAUGCUGGACAUCAGUUAUGAGGAACCAAGUUCAGGAAAGUCAUAAUCUAUUGAGUGUGUGUUAGGUCUUCUCAUUCCCUGUUUGCAAAGAAGAUGGGCAGAAAGUCGCAAAGAAGAUGGGCAGAAAGUCGUGUCUGUGAACCUUGGGUUCCUAUCCUAUAGCUGUACUUGUUCAUCUUCCAACAUGAUGUUGUCCAAGCAAGACAUACAUGGUAAGCUGAGGUUAAACAGGAAGUCACAUGUUCCCUAGGCUUCUCAGUGCUUGGCUCACAGUACCUUCCUGCUUUAGCCUCCCAGGAGCCAGCAGUGCAGGUGUGAGUCAGCACACCUAGCUUAAAAGACAAAGACUUGGAGGCAACGAUCACAAUUCUGCUUAAUGAUAGGUAAGAAAUCACAUAUACAAUAAAGGUAAAUAUUAGAAAUCUC